GCACGCUCUGGAGGUGAGGACCAGGCAGGAGGGCCUCGCCUCGAGUCGAGAUGGCCGCACGGUCUCUAGCCCGCAGGGCUCUCAGAGUCGCAGGCGGUGACGCCCGGUCGGGGGGCCCGGUCGCAAGGGACACACAGCUGGGGGCGCGAUGGCGCUGGAUCGCCGAAGGUCUGGUUGAGAACUUGAACCCGCCUGGAGCGGAUGCCUAAGAAAAUGCGGGCCCGCUGAAGCCUCCCCGCCGGGCCCUGGGCCCUGAAAGCCUCCGGCAGUUUCCCGUGACCCCGCGGCCGCUCUGCGCGUUUUCCGAUUUCUUGCUGGUUGAAUACCUCCCUCUCCACUCCCAACUUCAGGGUAAGCACCGUAAAGACGGGGAUCUUUACGGGUUUUCCUCACUGACUUCUCCCAAAAGCUAAACCAGCGCCUGGAAUAUAAACAUGUCGUACAUAAUUUGCAGGUGUUAGUUUCAGCGUCCUU
rnacentral:sRNA from 1 species